rnacentral:sRNA from 1 species
UCAGAGAUGAUCGCCCGGUUCGCACUCAA